GAUCAUUUUGCCGGCAUCCUUUUAAAAGGAAAAAUAUUUGGCUGGAGAGAUGGCUCCUGGUUAAGAGUUAGUAAUGCUCUUACAGAUCUUACAGAAGACCUGAAUUCAGUUCCAUGUUGCAUGGCUAGAAACCACUGUAACUCUGGCUCCAGGGAGUCAAAAUGCCUUUUUCUGGCACUUGCAGUCAUAUUUGAAACACAGGCAUAUACUCGGGAGAUCCAACCCCAACAGGCUGAGUAUAAUAUUUGUGCUUGGCGUUUAAGGUCCAUAAGUUGUUUUGAUGAAUAUUGUAGGAGCAAAUAAAUGUUGGGUAGAAUAUGAUAUAAGGAUGGUUUAUAUGUUCUAUAAAUGUUCUGAGGUCUCUUUGUUCUGUUACUGAAUGAGGAUUGAUGUCAGACUAAAAUUGUAGAUGGUUUCUUUGCAGUGUUCCCAUUUCAAGUGUCUGGAAAUUCCUGUUAAGUGCAGACACAUCUUAGAGUGUUAAGUCUUCCCAAA
rnacentral:lncRNA from 1 species